rnacentral:rRNA from 1 species
GACAGAGGGUGCAAACGUUGUUCGGAAUUACUGGGCGUAAAGCGCGUGUAGGCGGCCAAGCAAGUCGGGUGUGAAAGCCCCGGGCUCAACCUGGGAAUUGCAUUCGAGACUGCGUAGCUAGGGUGCGGAAGAGGGAAGCGGAAUUUCCGGUGUAGCGGUGAAAUGCGUAGAUAUCGGAAGGAACACCAGUGGCGAAAGCGGCUUCCUGGUCCAGCACCGACGUUCAGGCACGAAAGCGUGGGGAGCAAACAGG